CCUACGGGGGGCAGCAGUGAGGAAUAUUGGUCAAUGGGCGCGAGCCUGAACCAGCCAAGUAGCGUGAAGGAAGAAGGUACAGCGUAUCGUAAACCUCUUGUCAGGGAACAAAGGCGGGGACUAGUCCCCGGAUGAGGGUACCUGAAGAAAAAGCAUCGGCGAACUCCGGGCCAGCAGCCGCGGUAAUACGGAGGAUGCGCGCGUUAUCCGGAUUGCUUGGGUGUAAAGUGUGCGCAGUCGGCCUGUUAAGUCAGCGGUAAAAGCCCGGGGCUCAACCCCGGCGAGCCGUUGAAACUGGCGGGCUGGAGUUGGAGAGAAGUACGCGGAAUGCGAGGUGUAGCGGUGAAAUGCUUAGAUAUCGCGCAGAACCCCGAUUGCGAAGGCAGCGUACCGGCUCCACACUGACGCUGAGGCACGAAAGCGUGGGUAUCGAACAGGAUUAGAUACCCCAGUAGUC
rnacentral:rRNA from 1 species